UUUCUUUUUUUUUCAAUUUUCUUUCACUUUCUCGGUCUUUCUUCUCUAAAGCCCAAGCAAACAAAUUAAAAUCUUAAUGGUCUCCUCAUUUUAAGACCCCAUCUCUCUCUCCCUCUUUCUCUCUCUCUCCCCUUUUUUUCUACAUCUCACUCGACGAACACUUCUGUCUUUUGAGUUGUCUCUUGAUUCUUGAUUCUGAGCCGCCCAUGAUGGACAAUGGUUUCUCUUCCCUUCGAAACGAUGCGUUUCCUGCUGGUCUCC
rnacentral:misc_RNA from 1 species